AUUGAACGCUGGCGGCAGGCCUAACACAUGCAAGUCGAGCGGUAGCACAGAGAGCUUGCUCUCGGGUGACGAGCGGCGGACGGGUGAGUAAUGUCUGGGAAACUGCCUGAUGGAGGGGGAUAACUACUGGAAACGGUAGCUAAUACCGCAUAACGUCGCAAGACCAAAGAGGGGGACCUUCGGGCCUCUUGCCAUCAGAUGUGCCCAGAUGGGAUUAGCUAGUAGGUGGGGUAAUGGCUCACCUAGGCGACGAUCCCUAGCUGGUCUGAGAGGAUGACCAGCCACACUGGAACUGAGACACGGUCCAGACUCCUACGGGAGGCAGCAGUGGGGAAUAUUGCACAAUGGGCGCAAGCCUGAUGCAGCCAUGCCGCGUGUGUGAAGAAGGCCUUCGGGUUGUAAAGCACUUUCAGCGAGGAGGAAGGCAUUAAGGUUAAUAACCUUAGUGAUUGACGUUACUCGCAGAAGAAGCACCGGCUAACUCCGUGCCAGCAGCCGCCGUAA
rnacentral:rRNA from 1 species